GGGGGGGGUUGUGUGUGUGUGUGUGUGUGUGGGGGGGGGGUUGUGUGCUCUUCACAGACAGUCUGUUAUCGCACCAUGCACCUGCUGCAGUAGGAAAGGGUGUGUUCCUGCCCUCUGAUAGAGGAGGAUCCUCUCACACCUCACUGGUGUGUAGUCGGCGACGGAGCCUUUCAAAGACAAAUCAUUCUAAAUGAAGCGCAGGAGGUUCCCGCAGUCUGCGUGGGCUUUCAAUCUCCAGCUCUCUGUGAACUGUCGUUCGCUUCCGCGGUGUUCCUGAAACCUGGAAUUAAUUGGCUUAUUCAAGGAUAUAGUAGUUCCUUCUUCUCCCCCCCUCCCAGACCUUGAAAGUUAGAUUGACAUUCCGUUUGUGCCAUGAGGCUCAGUAUCAGUCAGUCUCAAACUUGAGGCGGUUCCUCCCCCUGAGAGCCCUCAUUUCAAAGAACAUUGGUAUAAAGCAACAGUCGCAGGCUAUACUGAUAUAGAGGGUUUUAUUCGAGAUAAAGAAAAAUAUAUAGGCCUAUAUAUUUCGCUUUCACAAAUUCCAAGGGCGGUCUUGAAGUGAAGCAUACUGGCUAUCUUUAGUUCACUCAUACUAACAUUUAACCGAACAACAGUUUUCCCCCCGAAGGUACCAAGUUAAAACUUUUUCCUCAAUGAGGAUGUCAGGUCAGACAGUCCUUCAGAACUCCAUCGAGCCAGUGUUGCAGUGGGAAGCUUAUUUAUGGCUAAUGUUAUGAAGUUGAGAAGCUCUACCCACACAGUGUUUUUAAGUUUUGCCAAGACAGGCACUUUAAUCACUUUAAUUUCUGUAUUACGAUUUAUAUAAUUUCUUUUUCAGUUUAAGUGUAUUUCUGUGUGUGUCAGUGCUUGUAUUCCUGCAUGAAUAAGUGUGGUCCAUCUCUAACCGCAGACUCUGUGUGAAGCUGAGGAAUCUUUGCACAUUCUCUCCACACUCCAUCUCCCCCCUCUCAACUUUAGCAGUUGGGACAAACCUCCUGUCCUGCAGUUUCACAAAUCAAGUUCCAGAACCCUGAAACGGGACACGCCAUACUGUUUUAAUCACUGUCAUGCCUUGUCGGCUUGGUAACGUUCAGAAAAACCACCAAAUGGAGCCGGAGUUUAACUGUCAUUCAUGUCGGCGUCUCCUUGGUUUCGAUAUUCAUGUCCCAUCUUUUUGUCAAGAUGUCCUGUAACUGGACUCCUUCGUUCAAAGAAUGACAAAAGAUGUUCUGAUCCUGAGGAGGCACAAGUGAUGACGUGACUACUGUUCAGUGUAAUCAUCGGCAAGCUCGGCGUCCCUUCGGCCGGUCUUCUCUCCGUCCUGCCGGUCUGGUGAAACCACCCCCCCCCCCCUGCUGGGAGGGGGGCUGAGCGCAGCGCAUGCUGGAUCACCAGGCGACUGUCUGCUGCUGAAAGUGGAGGAGGAGAGGGAAGUGAGGCGCUGUAGUGUAUUCAGGAAGCCAUCCGUCCCUCCAUCUGUCCAUCCAAUCUUUCCUCCAUCCGUCUGUUUGCCUCCAGUGAAGUCUUCUCUGUGUAGGAGGAGACAAGACUGGGUAGUUGUCUUUCCCAUGACCUUGGAUCAGCUUGGGUCGUCUCUUCGUUUUGUAUACAUUUUUGUUUUGAUAUCGAGUCCACAACGAGUGCCAUACUCAGAUUUCAAAUGUCUUGGAUGUGAAAUGGGACUUUUUUUUAAGACUGAUUACUCGUUCAUUCAAGUCUGCUGUCUGAUCAAGUAAAAAAAAAACGUUUUUUAUUUUAUUUGAUGGGGAUAGUGUAAUUAAUCAGUUGAUUAAUCCAGUUAAUUAAUAUCAUCCCUUUCAACCAGUUGUUAAUAUGGUCAAAAUAGCCAAAGUUGUUAGCUGUCUGUGAAGAGAUAAUAAUAAUAAUAAUGAUAAUAAUAAACAUCUCUGUUUAGAAGAUGGUUUUCUCCAAAGCAAUCUGCAGUCAGUAUACUCAUCUAUAGAGGCCCAACUGUGCUCCAGUUCCAUCUACAAUCACUGCAGUCUCAACAAUAAGCCAUCCUAGGUUAUCUGUAAAGCAGACAGGAGUGAAAAAUAAUAAUCUAAUUUUGAAGAUAUUGGUAUAUAGGAGAGUAAGACUGUAUUAGCAAAAUAACUUAGAAUACUUACCUUAUAUUAGUACACAGAGCUUUCAACUGUAUUUCUACUUUAUUAUUUUCUUGAUUAUUAUUUGCAUUUGACGGUCUAGGCCUGUACUGGUUCUGUGUUUGUGGGGCUCUAGGUUGUCUUUGCUCCUGGCCGUACAGCUGUCACACACACACCGUCUCUCUCUCCGCUGUGCCAGCGGAAUUCUCUCCGCUCCUGCAUGUGGUUCACACCUGUCAAUCUUUUCACCACCAGUUACUGUAAUUGUAUCGUACUCUAUUCUGUCACCCUGCUGGGAACUGAAGGCUCGUGUCAACUGCACGCAGCCAGAGCUGAACAACUCGAUAUCACAAACUGACAAACAUUUACAUUUAUGACUAUGACAUUUAGUCAUAGUCAUAGACGCUCUUAUCCAGAGCGACUUACAGUAAGUACAGGGACAUUCCCCCUGAGGCAAGUAGGGUGAAGUGCCUUGCCCAAGGACACAACGUCAUUUGGCACGGCCGGGAAUCGAACUGGCAACCUUCAUAUUACUAGCCCGACUCCCUCACCGCUCAACCACCUGACUCCCACCCACUCAAACCCGUCAACAUGCUAACGGGCUCAACGCUUGUUUUCUUUCGUGCGUGUGCUGUUUAUGUUCGACGUGCCCCCUGGGGUUUCAGUUGGAAGCGGUUUAUCGGAUGAUGUACCACCAUAUCUUAUUUCUUUCCUUCUCUCUUUUUGUUUAUGGUUAAAAGAUAGACUUUUUCUGAGUUUAUAUCUCUCCUGGAAUCUAUGCAAAUCUGCUCUGGUGUCCUCUGCUACUGAAAGGGGAGAUGGAACUGUAAAUAAUGUAUAAACCAAUGGGUCUUAGAAAUGCAAUUGCAUCUGAAUUAAUCAACAGGACUGAAUGAAAAAUACCCAAAAUGAUGAAUGUUGCCAGAACUAUUUUUCUAUAUUUUAAAUUGAAGAAAAAAAAGACGAACAAAAAUACAUUGUGGGGAGAUAAAGCUGUAAGAAACACUAAAAGGGAAUGUUUUUAUUAAUUUAUAAAUGUUUUACCUAGCAAUA